AUCAUUUUCCCCCCAGUAUAAAUCUGAUGUGUUUUCGAAGUGUUCCACUAGUUUUUUUUUUAGCAGUGUAGAAUUGACAGUGUUUACACCCGCAGCCUGUUAACCUCGUGACAUCUCGCGAGACUUCACGUGCUCCAUAAAGCGGUAUGCUUCGGCUAAGCCUGCUAGCUUAUUAGCUAACUAACUAGCAAAUCGCCUUAGCGUUUGACAGCCACAACUUUGACUUGGCAGCGAUCCAAACUGACAAUCGUCGCUGAACACCGCAGCGUGGGAGCGAAGAGAAAGCCGAGAGCGAACAAGUUGGCAUUUAAGUGGUCAAUGUCAAGCCUUUAGCCGACUGACUUAUUGCAGUACGCUAAACAGGCGCCUGGCAAAGUUCUAAGCGGACGUCACUCGAACAUUCCACACACUUUAAGUUACGUUACCGCAGGUGUGUUGCCGUCAAACAUGGCCUGUCACUCCCUCCCGCUCUGCGACUUUGGAGCAGCGGGAGGCCGAAGCUAACUUCCUACAUUUAACUUCCUGAUUAUGUCCACCGUGAGUGCACUUACAUGCCAGAUGGCGAAGAAGAUGAGCGCCGCCGUGAGCAGUAACGCCAGCAUGUAACAAAAGGCCGCGAAUGUGAACGCCAUUUUUUUUCUUCUUCCUCCUCCUCCACCGGGUCUGCUUUGCUGGAUGAUGACGGAUUUGAGACACGCUGGACUUUUUGUUUGGAGCGAACCAUCUGCCGUUCAAAAGAAUACGGCUUCAAAUACUGCUGAACAACAGCUAAGUAAAUCCUACCUAUGUGACUGCACUUGUUGCUUGUUGUUAAAUAUGACUUUGCCUCCAUAUUUCCUUUCCUAGUAGCUGGGCUGUUUAUUCAACUGCAGAGACUACCAGGCAUCUAUUAGAGCUACAGAGUUUAUAUUAGAGGUCCCUUAUUGUUAAUCACAUUUUAGACAAAUUCACAUAAUUGGCCCUGAUUCAUCAACAAAAAGUGAGUAAAAAAUGAAUGUUAUAUUCUGUUGCUACUUUUUGUCGUUUUUUUUUUUUUUUUACAUUUCGCAAACAAGGCAAGGCGCCUGAGAGAGCUUGUAGAUGGGGGAGAGGCUCACAGCAACACCCGCAACUCGUCAAGAAGCUAGAGGGCUCAGCAGAUUACUUGCUAAAUAGAGUUGGCAACACCGAUUCCUCCUGCGCCGUCUUCUUCUCAGGCAGACCAGGACUGAUAUCAGGAAAAAAAACAAGAAAGAAAUCAUUGUUGUUUCGGUGAAAGGAUAUCUGGGCUGUCUCUCCGGGAGUUCGUCCUUCAGGUCGUCGGGGGAAAUAUCCUGAAACCAAACAACAAAAAAAGUGAAAAAGUGCGAGCUCAACGCCAUCGUUGUCGGGCUGUCAAUCGAUUCAAAUAUCUCAUCUAGAUUAAUCGCAUUUUUGUCCAUUGUUAACUCGUAAUUAAUCACAUUUAAUCACAGAUAGAAAUAAGCUUUUUAUCUAUAAGUAGGGAAAAUGUCUUUGUGGUAAGCGAUUUGAUACGUAACUACAACGAUAACUACAUCAAACUUUAUGGAAAGGGAUAUAAAUUUGGUAAAUAUGGGAAAUAAUAUACAGUCAGAAAGCAUAUAUAUUUUUAAAUAAUGAUUUUUAUUUUAUGAUAAGCAUAUUAGCUCUUAAC